UACGUAGGGUGCAAGCGUUGUCCGGAAUUAUUGGGCGUAAAGAGCUCGUAGGCGGUCUGUUGCGUCGGCUGUGAAAACCCGGGGCUCAACCCCGGGCCUGCAGCCGAUACGGGCAGACUAGAGUUCGGCAGGGGAGACUGGAAUUCCUGGUGUAGCGGUGAAAUGCGCAGAUAUCAGGAGGAACACCGGUGGCGAAGGCGGGUCUCUGGGCCGAAACUGACGCUGAGGAGCGAAAGCGUGGGGAGCAAACAGG
rnacentral:rRNA from 1 species